rnacentral:rRNA from 1 species
GACGUAGGAUGCAAGCGUUAUCCGGAAUUAUUGGGCGUAAAGCGUUCGUAGGUGGUUUGUUAAGUUGGAUGUUAAAGCUUUGAGCUCAACUCAAAACUGGUAUCCAAAACUGGCAGGCUAGAGACAGGUAGAGGUAGGUAGAAUUCUGUAUGUAGGGGUAACAUCCGUAGAUAUACAGAGGAAUACCAAAAGCGAAGGCAGCCUACUGGACCUGUUCUGACACUCAAGAACGAAAGCGUGGGGAGCAAACAGG